GUAUUCUUUUACUCAUAUCUACUCAUUAAGGAGUGUCUUGUUUGAGUACUUAGUGUUUUGUACACUUGAAGAGAAUUGUUAUUCUCUUGUUGUAAUAAGGAGCUUGUGUUUCCUUGGUUGAAGUCUUGGAGUGUUGUAUCUCCGAGAAAAUGUGUUGAGGCUUGUGUCCUGAAGUUGUAAAGGUUUGUUAAGCACCCGUAAGCUUGACAAGUUAGU
rnacentral:lncRNA from 1 species